rnacentral:rRNA from 1 species
CAGUCGUACGAGAAAGUCGGCUUCGGCCGAUGAGUACAGUGGCGCACGGGUGAGUAACGCGUGGGUAAUCUACCCCUCGGUCAGGAAUAACCCGCCGAAAGGCGGGCUAAUACCCGAUAACACUGACGCUCUGCGGAGUGUCUUUCAAAGAAGGCCUCUGUUUACAAGCUUUCGCCGGAGGAUGAGCCCGCGUACCAUUAGCUAGUUGGUAGGGUAAUGGCCUACCAAGGCAACGAUGGUUAGCUGGUCUGGGAGGAUGGCCAGCCACACUGGAACUGAGACACGGUCCAGACUCCUACGGGAGGCAGCAGUGAGGAAUCUUGCGCAAUGGGGGAAACCCUGACGCAGCAACGCCGCGUGAGUGAGGAAGGCCUUCGGGUCGUAAAGCUCUGUCAGAUGGGAAGAAAUGGGUGGGGGCUAAUAUCGUCCACCCUUGACGGUACCAUCAGAGGAAGCACCGGCUAACUCCGUGCCAGCAGCCGCGGUAAUACGGGGGGUGCAAGCGUUGUUCGGAAUCAUUGGGCGUAAAGCGCGCGCAGGCGGCUUGGUAAGUCAGAUGUGAAAUCCCUGGGCUUAACCCAGGAAGUGCAUUUGAUACUGCCUCGCUAGAGUACGGGAGAGGAAAGUGGAAUUCCUGGUGUAGAGGUGAAAUUCGUAGAUAUCAGGAGGAACACCGGUGGCGAAGGCGACUUUCUGGCCCGAUACUG